UUUUAAACUACAAUGCAAACAACUCAAACCUAUCUCGGACCAAAAUAGUAUGUAGUUUGAUUUCUGUGCCAUACAAGCUGUAUAGUACACGAGGAGACCAUUCGGUUUUAUGCCAGUGAAGGCGUUGAAAGAUAUAACGAUUAAAGCUGGAGAAAUCACAGAGGGCUGGAAGACUGGAAGGGAAAAGUCAGAGUCAAGUUUCAUUGUCAUUUGCGUUUUUUUGAAGACCCUGACGUGGAGUUACAUGCUGACUUCGAUUCUUUGUGGAAAUGGGACCGCUCUUGGGGCCUCACGACAGACCGCUUUUCGAUAGGCCAAGGAUGCGGCCUGGAAGACUAGCGCGCCUUCAGGGAGCCAGAUUUUCGUGGCUCUGGAGGUGGGCAGAUUCAAGGUUGGUGCUACUGCCUGAUGAAUCGUGGGAGUACAUGGAAGAUCAUAAGAAGUGAGCUGACUGCUGGCUGUGUGCCCAAGGAACCGAGUUCUUCGGGCACAGAGCUCAGAAAAAGCGACACAAAAGACUUUUAACACCAUAAAUCAGUGAGUUGUUUUGAUAUGUCUCUCCUCUUGCUG